rnacentral:rRNA from 1 species
CCUACGGGGGGCUGCAGUAAGGAAUCUUCCGCAAUGGACGAAAGUCUGACGGAGCGACACCGCGUGAAGGAUGAAGGCCUAUGGGUUGUAAACUUCUUUUCUGUGGGAAGAAAAUCUGACGGUACCACAGGAAUAAGGACCGGCUAAUUACGUGCCAGCAGCCGCGGUAAUACGUAAGGUCCGAGCGUUACCCGGAAUUAUUGGGUGUAAAGCGUCCGCAGGUGGCGCGAAAAGUCAGUUAUUAAAUACCGGAGCUCAACUUCGGUGCUGUAAUUGAAACUUUCGUGCUAGAGGAUGGGAGAGGUAUAUGGAAUUGUGCAAGUAGGGGUAAAAUCCGUAGAUAUGCACAGGAACACCAAAAGCGAAGACAGUAUACUGGACCAUUCCUGACACUCAGGGACGAAGGCGUGGGGAGCGAAACGGAUUAGAUACCCCAGUAGUC